AUUGAACGUUGGCGGCAGGCCUCAUGCAUGCAAGUCGAGCGGUAACAGCAGGAGCUUGCUCCUGGCUGACGAGCGGCGGACGGGUGAGUAACGCGUAGGAAUCUACCUAGUAGUGGGGGACAACCCGGGGAAACUCGGGCUAAUACCGCAUACGCUCUUAGGAGGAAAGCGGGGGAUCUUCGGACCUCGCGCUAUUAGAGGAGCCUGCGUCGGAUUAGCUAGUUGGUGAGGUAAAGGCUCACCAAGGCGACGAUCCGUAGCUGGUCUGAGAGGACGAUCAGCCACACUGGAACUGAGACACGGUCCAGACUCCUACGGGAGGCAGCAGCAGGGAAUCUUGGACAAUGGGCGCAAGCCUGAUCCAGCCAUGCCGCGUGUGUGAAGAAGGCCCUAGGGUUGUAAAGCACUUUCAGUGGUGAAGAAACGCUUGAGGUUAAUACCCUCGAGUACUGACGUUAACCACAGAAGAAGCACCGGCUAACUCCGUG
rnacentral:rRNA from 1 species